rnacentral:rRNA from 1 species
AAAUUCCGCUUCGGGUUAGUCGGUCCCUAAGCCGAGGCCGAAAGGCGUAGGUGAUGGGAAUGACGUUAAUAUUCGUCAACCUCGUUGAGGUGCGAUGGGGAGACCCAGGGUUGAAGGUCUAGGGCCUAUUGGAUGGUCCGUUGCCCAAGAGGGUGGCAGGUAGGUAAAUCCGCCUGCGUGAUCUCUUGAGGGUGAGACAUUGCGGCUUCGGCCAAAGUGUACUGACUGGAUGUCCUGGCAAGAAAAGCCUCUAAGCAUAACUUCAAUGAGACCGUACCCAAAACCGACACAGGUAGGCGAGGAGAAUACCCUCAGACGCGCGUGAGAACUCUGCGGAAGGAACUCGGCAAACUGACCCCGUAAGUUCGCAAUAAGGGGUGCCUACCCGUAAGGGAGGUCACAGAAAAGAGGCUCUGCCGACUGUUUAUCAAAAACACAGCUCUCUGCUAACUCCGAAGAGGAUGUAUAGAGAGCGACGCUUGCCCAAUGCUGGAAGGUCAAGGGGACUGGUCAGACGUAAGUCAAAGCCGGGAACCUAAGCCCCAGUGAAUGGCGGCCCUAACUAUGAGGGUCCUAAGGUAGCGAAAUUCCUUGGCUGGUAAGUUCAGUCGCGCACGAAGAGCGGCACGAGUGGAGCACUGUCUCCCGCAGGGACACGGCGAAAUAGGAGUUGUUGUGAAGAUACAACAUACCCGCAGCUAGGCGGAAAGACCCUAUGCAGCUUUACUGUAAUCUGACACUGUGCCUUCGUAUUUGAUGCGUAGGAUAGGUGGGAGGCGUUGAUUCCAGGGUUUCGGCCCUGGAGGAGCCAUCGGUGAAAUACCACCCUUUAGGUAUGAAGGUUCUAACCUCACUCCGUAAUCCGGGUGUGGGACACUGUUUGAUGGACAGUUUGACUGGGGCGGUUUCCUCCCAAAAAGUAACGGAGGAGUUCAAAGGUACCCUCAGGGCGGUCGGUCAUCGCCCGAAGAGCGCAAAGGUAGAAGGGUGCUUGACUGCGAGACUAAUGAGUCGAGCAGACUGGAAACAGGGACUUAGUGAUCCUGUGGAUCCGUGUGGAAGGGACAUAGCUUAUCAGAUAAAAGCUACGCUAGGGAUAACAGGCUGAUCCUACCUAAGAGUCCAUAUCGACGGUAGGGUUUGGCACCUCGAUGUCGGCUCAUCGCAUCCUGGGACUGAAGGCGGCCCCAAGGGUUCGGCUGUUCGCCGAUUAAAGCGGUACGUGAGCUGGGUUCAGACCGGCGCGAGCCAGGUUGGUCCCUACCUACUGUGGGCGGAAGAGUUUUGAGCGAGUCUAACCUUAGUACGAGAGGAUUGGGAUGGACGUACCUCUGGUGUUCCUGUUGGGUCGCCAGACCCAGCGCAGGGUAGCUAUGUACGGAAAGGAUAAGCGCUGAAAGCAUAUAAGCGCGAAGCCCUUCGCGAGAUAAGAACUCUCUAUCAGGACCGUGGAAGACUACCACGUCGAUAGGCCGGGUGUGGAAGUGGUGAGAGCC